rnacentral:rRNA from 1 species
GAUGAACGCUGGCGGCGUGCCUAAUACAUGCAAGUCGAGCGAACAGACGAGGAGCUUGCUCCUCUGACGUUAGCGGCGGACGGGUGAGUAACACGUGGAUAACCUACCUAUAAGACUGGGAUAACUUCGGGAAACCGGAGCUAAUACCGGAUAAUAUAUUGAACCGCAUGGUUCAAUAGUGAAAGACGGUUUUGCUGUCACUUAUAGAUGGAUCCGCGCCGCAUUAGCUAGUUGGUAAGGUAACGGCUUACCAAGGCGACGAGGCGUAGCCGACCUGAGAGGGUGAAUCGCCACACUGGGACUGGGAACGGGGCCAGGCCCCUGGGGGAGGGAGAAGUGGGGGAAUUUGGCGAAAGGGGGGAAAUCUGGACGAGGCAACGCCGGUGGGGGGAGAAAGCGUUUGGGUUCGAAAAACCUUUUUUUGGGGGAAAAAAAAAGUUGGAUAUCACUAUGCCGUUUUGAAGGGAACCUAAGAAGAAGGCCCGGCUAACUUCGUG